rnacentral:pre_miRNA from 2 species
AGUAACACCAGGCUCAAUGUGCCAUUUCCUUGUCUGUAGCCAUGUCUGUGGGCCCUUGAGUUAGCCACCUGGGUGAGGGCCUGCU